UCUGAUGCACACACUCCUCUCUCAUGAUCCUGCAAUCCUUCUUCUAGAAAAGACCAACUUUGGAUUUGAUUGUUAAAGGAGAAAAUCAAUGAAAACGGUUAAAGUGAGCAAGUCAAGAAGGGUUUCAGGACUUGGGAAGGAAAAUGUUUAUUAACCACUAGAUGAAAAGAGGAGCAGAAACAGCUGCUGAUACCAAACUGGGUUGACCACAUACUUUGGAAGAAUCCUCACAAAAACCGAUUAUGAUCUGGUUCCAAAUGAUAUUCCCUAAAUUCACAUCUUCAGAGACAUCUUCUUUCUGUCUCUGCCUGUGCACUGUGUGGUCAACCUUCGCAGGUGAGUGCCUGGCUUGUUGUCAAGACACAAGCCAAGCAAACCUCCACUACUAACUUAUUAUGGUGUUGAUACUAACCGUGGUGAGGCUGUAAAGGUCCACCUGUUGCUCUUACUAACAUCUCUGUUCUUUCUGACUGAAUUUCUAUUGUGAUGUCUGAAAUCCAAUUAUUCCGUCUCUUUGUUAAUUUUUAAUUAAAUCCAAGCAUGCCUUGUGGUACUAGGGAUGUUUAUUAAUUGAUAUUACAUGGAAGCCUUUAUCCAAAACAUCUUCUGGUGCCAUGAGUAUGUACUUUUUUAGCAGCGGGCAGUCCCACUAAAGUCCCGUAGCUCUAACUGCGUCAGUGACGUGCUCAACACAAGUCUUUACAAAGAAGCUACUAACAUUUCCUGAAGUUAAAUUAACCGAAGAGCUUUUAUUAGCUCUCUGCAAACUAACAAACUAACCUACUAAUAAACUAAUAAUAACUAACUAAAAUCACUAACGCUGUGAUGGGUGACAGAAUUAGUGAAGCACCCUUAUUUUGAGGAGUUGCAUCACUUUUUGAAUGUACUAACAGACUUAAGUUUUGAAGAGCUAUUGACGUUAUUUGAAUGUGCCUGUGUGUGUGUGUGUGUGUGUGUGUGUGUGUGUGUGUGUGUGUGAAAGAGAGAGAGCAACGAGAGAUGCCCUCCUUUUUUUUUUCUUUUCUUCACUCUGUUUGGAAUUCAUUAGCUGGUGAAGCAAGCAGAGGCAGAUGUAGUUUGACACAAAGGGUGAAGUCGAUAGCAGCAGCAGGAGGAGAGAAGUUAGGAUUAUUGUUUUGGACAGAAUGGCCUUAAAAAUAUGAUUGUUUCAUGCACGAGGGGCAGAAGGAAGAAAACAGUUGUGUGAUUUUAAUACACUUAGAAAUCUCCAUAAUUCUUUAUAUCAGUAAUUAUACCUUAAUGCCUCUUUGAGUGUUUUAACACCUGGCCGGAGACACAACUCGUUUUCCCUACACAGUGUCAGUGUAGUUUCUCUUGUAUAUAUGUCCUAUUUUUGACCAUCUGUUGACCUGUGCUAUCCACUAUAUGUCCCUGUCCAGAGUGUGCACAGAUCAGAUGUGCUGACACAGUUAUCAGACACAAAAUCCCUACCGCUCUCCCACUGAGAGGUGCUGGUUGGAAGGACUAUAAAGGCAGUGUCAAUGAGGGUGUGAUAACUGUGAAAGUCUGUCUACAUGUGUCUCCUGUCUGCUUGUCUCUCCUGUUCCUCCUCGCUCACCACCGGCACCUCACACACACUGCGACCUGCUUUCUGCCUCCCCUCUGUCAUUGGGAAGUGUUUUUAAAAGGAGCCGGGAUCAAACGAAGUCGGAAAAUGCCUGUCUGGCGUUCAUCUGACAGCCCUGCAUCCUGAACCCUUUUAAAAGAGGGUGCAGAGGAAAAAAGGGAGAGAAAAUAGGACAUGUUUCGCACAAUUUAUGCAGCGUUAAUUUUCCAGCCCACGCGUCGACUGUUUACAGAGUCCUGCGCAUCUCAAACCUCCGUCUCUUGUUCUCUGUUCACCCCCCCCCUUCCUAUCUCUCAAACCACAAUCCCUCCUUUACUUUUUCCUCCCACCCUCCUCACUUUUUGUGUGCUUAUGUUAUUCUGAUUUUUUUUCCAGUCUUUUUUGUGUCACUAGUGAGGAUGCUCUCCCUUGGGGUGGCUAAAUUUACAUCUCUCCAUAUGACAAACACAAACAAAGAAGCAAAUAAAUCAAAUGAGAGAGAGAGGGAGAAGGAGAGGAGGGAGAGAGCAGUCGUGGAUGUUCAUCACUCUCUGAACAUAUAUGUAUAAAACAGUGUAGUAAUAUUGAUAAUAUAUGAAUAAAUGGAUACCGUAAUGAUUGAAAUUUUCUCUAUAGGAACCAAUACUAAGCUUUGUUUUUAUUUAAAGGCUCUAUAGACAAAGUAUCACCAUUAA
rnacentral:lncRNA from 1 species